rnacentral:ncRNA from 2 species
GGGACGAGCCGUGACUGGCGCUUGGGUGGAGUACCACCGUGGAGCGGCUCGACCGGUGUGGUCACUGCCGUGCGCCUGGGCGAUUCCG